GACGAACGCUGGCGGCGUGCUUAACACAUGCAAGUCGAACGGAAAGGCCCUGCUUUUGUGGGGUGCUCGAGUGGCGAACGGGUGAGUAACACGUGAGUAACCUGCCCUUGACUUUGGGAUAACUUCAGGAAACUGGGGCUAAUACCGGGUAGGAGCUCCUGCUGCAUGGUGGGGGUUGGAAAGUUUCGGCGGUUGGGGCUGGACUCGCGGCUUAUCAGCUUGUUGGUGGGGUAGUGGCUUACCAAGGCUUUGACGGGUAGCCGGCCUGAGAGGGUGACCGGCCACAUUGGGACUGAGAUACGGCCCAGACUCCUACGGGAGGCAGCAGUGGGGAAUAUUGCACAAUGGGCGGAAGCCUGAUGCAGCAACGCCGCGUGCGGGAUGCCGGCCUUCGGGUUGUAAACCGCUUUCGCCUGUGACGAAGCGUGAGUGACGGUAAUGGGUAAAGAAGCACCGGCUAACUACGUG
rnacentral:rRNA from 1 species